rnacentral:rRNA from 1 species
GACGAACGCUGGCGGCGUGCUUAACACAUGCAAGUCGAGCGGAAAGGCCCUUCGGGGUCCUCGAGCGGCGAACGGGUGAGUAACACGUGAGUAAUCUGCCCUUGGCUUUGGGAUAACUACCGGAAACGGUGGCUAAUACCGGAUACGACAACCGUCUGCAUGGGCUGGUUGUGGAAAGUUUUUUCGGCCAGGGAUGUGCUCGCGGCCUAUCAGCUUGUUGGUGGGGUAAUGGCCUACCAAGGCUUCGACGGGUAGCCGGCCUGAGAGGGUGACCGGCCACACUGGGACUGAGACACGGCCCAGACUCCUACGGGAGGCAGCAGUGGGGAAUAUUGGACAAUGGGCGGAAGCCUGAUCCAGCAACGCCGCGUGAGGGAUGACGGCCGUCGGGUUGUAAACCUCUUUCAGUACCGACGAAGCGCCGAUGAUGGUGGUGACGGUAGGUACAGAAGAAGCACCGGCCAACUACGUG